GACGAACGCUGGCGGCGUGCUUAACACAUGCAAGUCGAGCGGUAAGGCCCUUUCGGGGGUACGACGAGCGGCGAACGGGUGAGUAACACGUGGGUGACCUGCCCUCAGCUCUGGGAUAAGCCUGGGAAACGUGGGUCUAAUACCGGAUAUGACUCCAUGACGCAUGUUGUGGGGUGGAAAGCCUUGUGCGGCUGAGGAUGGGCCCGCGGCCUAUCAGCUUGUUGGGUGGGGNGAUGGCCUACCAAGGCGACGACGGGUAGCCGGCCUGAGAGGGCGACCGGCCACACUGGGACUGAGACACGGCCCAGACUCCUACGGGAGGCAGCAGUGGGGAAUCUUGCGCAAUGGGCGAAAGCCUGACGCAGCGACGCCGCGU
rnacentral:rRNA from 1 species